rnacentral:rRNA from 1 species
UGGGGAAUAUUGCACAAUGGGCGCAAGCCUGAUGCAGCCAUGCCGCGUGUAUGAAGAAGGCCUUCGGGUUUUAAAGUACUUUCAGUCGGGAGGAAGGUGGUAAGGUUAAUAACCUUACCAAUUGACGUUACCGACAGAAGAAGCACCGGCUAACUCCGUGCCAGCAGCCGCGGUAAUACGGAGGGUGCAAGCGUUAAUCGGAAUUACUGGGCGUAAAGUGCACGCAGGCGGUUGAUUGAGUCAGAUGUGAAAUCCCCGGGCUUAACCCGGGAAUUGCAUCUGAUACUGGUCAGCUAGAGUCUUGUAGAGGGGGGUAGAAUUCCAUGUGUAGCGGUGAAAUGCGUAGAGAUGUGGAGGAAUACCGGUGGCGGAAGCGGCCCCCUGGACAAAGACUGACGCUCAGGUGCGGAAGCGUGGGGGGCAAACAGG